GGGCCCGCACAAGCGGUGGAGCAUGUGGUUUAAUUCGAUGCAACGCGAAGAACCUUACCUACUCUUGACAUCCACAGAAUCUGGUAGAGAUACCUCAGUGCCUUCGGGAACUGUGAGACAGGUGCUGCAUGGCUGUCGUCAGCUCGUGUUGUGAAAUGUUGGUUAAGUCCCGCAACGAGCGCAACCCCUAUCCUUACUUGCCAGCGGGUAAUGCCGGGAACUUUAGGGAGACUGCCGGUGAUAAACCGGAGGAAGGUGGGGACGACGUCAAGUCAUCAUGGCCCUUACGAGUAGGGCUACACACGUGCUACAAUGGUCAGUACAGAGGGUUGCGAAGCCGCGAGGUGGAG
rnacentral:rRNA from 1 species